CAUUGAUAAGGAGUUGUCCCAGAAAUUAUGGCUUAUGGAACCAAAGUUACAGCAGAGAUGGUCACUAAAAGGGCAGCUACAAAGAGGACAGAAGUUCUCUCUCCACAAGGAGCCACACGGAGAAGACAAGAGACAAUGGUUUCAAGUUGCACUGAGGGAGGCUUCAUCUUGACCUAAGUACAAAACUUUUUUACAGCGAGAACAGUCAUUCCCUGGAACAACCUCCUCAGAAAUGUGGUGGAGUCCACAUCGCUGGAGGUUUUCAAGAUGCAAUUGGACAAGGUGCUGGAUAAUCUCAUCCAGGCUCCCUUUCCCAUGAAGGGUUGCACCGGCUGAUCUCUUGAACUCCCUUCCAACCUGGGCUGCUCUGUGAUUCUGUGAUUAGAAAGAAUUAACACAAGCUUGUAAAUUGCUAGAGAGCGACUAUCUCUUUCUUUGUAUAAUGACUAAGGAUUUAUAAAUGUAGAACUUGAACAUGCUCUUAUUUCAGUGCUGUUUUGUAAAGAAUACUGUACAUUUAAGAUUUCUAGACAUCAUUGUAUAAUUUGAUGUAUGUAUGCCACUUGAACAGAAAUUUUCCACAACUACAAUACACCCUUCAUUCUGAACUGUGACCUAUAGAGCAGAAAGACUAAUCCAUAAUUGCAGAAUGUGGUACAUAAUUAGAUUUGGCACAAUGCUUAUUGUAGUAUUGUCUGAUCUCUUCAUAUAUGAACCUAUUUAUGCCCUCCUAGCU
rnacentral:lncRNA from 1 species